UACUUCUGACAUUCUAUGCAUUUCAACUAUGGGAAACCAUUUGAAAGUCGAGCUGGGGAAUUCACUAAAUCAGUUAAGCCCAAUUAGAGGAAGCCCUACUUACUGAGUGGAAGGAAUCUCCCUUCUCUGAGAAUAUCAAAAGAGUUUCCAUCUUUGAGGUAUUUUUUAUUCAGGAGCUGCCCCCACAAUCCUGAUCAGGAAGAGGAGCAAGAAGAUAAGGGUGGAUAUGUUGAGCCUGCACCAGUUGACCUGUUUCUUCACUUACCUCAUUAAUCACCUAGUGGGAAUUUGGCCAGCUGCACCAAUGGGCAUUGAAUUCAAGUGCGCACAACUUGAGAAGCACCCAGUGGAGCAUGGAGCGAAAAAGACGGAACCUGCAGGUGGCCUCUCAGUAUGGAGUAUGAAGGACAUCUUGAAAGGACAGAGGGGACACCUGUGUGCUUCUGAGUCUUUAAGGUUCAUGACCUGCCUCAACUUCCACUUUCUGAAAAACAUUAUUCAUCUCCAGCCUCCAGAUGUCAUUUUUUGGCAGCAAAAAGGCCUUCAUUUCAAAUAUACCCCCUGCUUCUCUUCAGCUACUAGAGGCUUCCUCUCUGUGAUUACCUUCAUCUAAUCUAUAUAUAUCUUGCAUGUAACUAGUUAUUUAUAUGUGAUUUUGGAAACCAUCCCUGCCUCCAGAGAGGACCUGAGAAAAGAAAGACCUGAGAAUGAGCUUGGCCUGAGGCUGGACACCCUGCUGUUAGGGAAGGAUCAGGGACCUCCAACCACCACCACCAACAACAACAACUUAACCUGAGUCAAAAAAGAGGUUGUGUGCUGAUUUUGACUAUCAGAGAGCAGGUCUUUACCCUCUGUUUCCAGUAGCCAGCUGCUUUCUCAAUCUCACACAUUCUGAGGAUGAUAGCACUGUUGUCCUACUGCCAAGUUCUGCUUUCCUUUUCCAGCAUCAAAGAACCUGACCCCUUUUUCUUUUUUUUUUUUAAAACCACACCAAAAAUAAAAUAAAUAAAUAAAGACUGCGCUUCA
rnacentral:lncRNA from 1 species